rnacentral:tRNA from 1 species
GGGCUGAUGGUCUAGUGGUAUGAUUCUCGCUUAGGGUGCGAGAGGUCCCGGGUUCAAUUCCCGGUUAGCCCC